AUUGAACGCUGGCGGCAGGCCUAACACAUGCAAGUCGAGCGAGUGGCGGACGGGUGAGUAAUGUCUGGGGAACUGCCCGAUGGAGGGGGAUAACUACUGGAAACGGUGGCUAAUACCGCAUACCAUCGGAUGUGCCCAGAUGGGAUUGGCUAGUAGGUGGGGUAAAGGCUCACCUAGGCGACGAACCCUAGCUGGUCUGAGAGGAUGACCAGCCACACGGGGACUGAGACACGGCCCAUACUCCUACGGGAGGCAGCAGUGGGGAAUAUUGCACAAUGGGCGCAAGCCUGAUGCAGCCAUGCCGCGUGUAUGAAGAAGGCAUUCGGGUUGUAAAGUACUUUCAGCGAGGAGGCGUUACCCGCAGAAGAAGCACCGGCUAACUCCGUGCCAGCCGCCGCGGUAAUAC
rnacentral:rRNA from 1 species